rnacentral:rRNA from 1 species
AGCAGCCGCGGUAAUUCCAGCUCCAAUAGCGUAUAUUAAAGUUGUUGCAGUUAAAAAGCUCGUAGUUGAGUUUCGGGGUUAGUAGGUUGGUCAUGCCUCUGGUAUGUACUGGUCUCACUGAUUCCUCCUUCCUGAUGAACCUUAAUGCCAUUUAUUUGGUGUUUUGGGAAUUUGGACUGUUACUUUGAAAAAAUUAGAGUGUUUAAAGCAAGCUAACGCUUGAAUACAUUAGCAUGGAAUAAUGAAAUAGGACGUUCGAUCCUAUUUUGUGGUUUCUAGGAUUGACGUAAUGAUUAAUAGGGAUAGUUGGGGGCAUUAGUAUUCAAUUGUCAGAGGUGAAAUUCUUGGAUUUAUUGAAGACUAACUACUGCGAAAAGCAUUUGCCAAGGAUGUUUUCAUUAAUCAAGAACGAAAGUUAGGGAUCGAAGACGAUCAGAUACCGUCGUAGUCUUAACCAUAAACUAUGCCGACUAGGGAUCGGGGUNAUGUUAAUUUUUUAAUGUACUCAUUCGGCGUCCGUUACGGGAAACCAAAGUUGGUUUAC